GACGAACGCUGGCGGCGUGCCUAAUACAUGCAAGUUGAGCGCUGAAGGUUGGUACUUGUACCGACUGGAUGAGCAGCGAACGGGUGAGUAACGCGUGGGGAAUCUGCCUUUGAGCGGGGGACAACAUUUGGAAACGAAUGCUAAUACCGCAUAAAAACUUUAAACACAAGUUUUAAGUUUGAAAGAUGCAAUUGCAUCACUCAAAGAUGAUCCCGCAUUGUAUUAGCUAGUUGGUGAGGUAAAGGCUCACCAAGGCGAUGAUACAUAGCCGACCUGAGAGGGUGAUCGGCCACAUUGGGACUGAGACACGGCCCAAACUCCUACGGGAGGCAGCAGUAGGGAAUCUUCGGCAAUGGACGAAAGUCUGACCGAGCAACGCCGCGUGAGUGAAGAAGGUUUUCGGAUCGUAAAACUCUGUUGGUAGAGAAGAACGUUGGUGAGAGUGGAAAGCUCAUCAAGUGACGGUAACUACCCAGAAAGGGACGGCUAACUACGUG
rnacentral:rRNA from 1 species